AUAAAGGAAGUUAGGCUGAGGGGCAGAGAGCGAGACUUUUCUAUUUUCCAAAAGCUCGGUCUGAGGCCCCUCAGUCUUGCUUCCUAACCCGCGC